CUCUCUAAUAGGAGGACCCAGAGGAAACAGCAGCUGUUCUGUAUUCUUCAAAAAAACAGCACCAGAACAUUUUCAAUCAACACCACUGAAAACAUUUAGCUUGAUUAUCCUUUGGCUUACACCUAUGCAAAUUAGGAAUAAUUCCAGGAAGGCAAUGGAGAUAUACUUGUUUAACUGAGAAACGGGUGCUCCUGGCAGAGAUAUGUUUUAGACGUAUCUACCAGUCCAGGACUUUUAGUGACAUUACAAUCAGCUUGAACAGUGGAACCCUAUAGACAACUAUCUACAAGAAACCCAUGGAUCACCACACCUAUCUUCACAGAUCCACUUAUCACCCUAACAACCUCAAGACAUCUGUUAUCUACAGCCAGGCACACAGAUACCACAGAAUAUGCUCUGAGAAAAAAGUCUUAAAACUGCCUUCACCAAACAAGGACACUCCAUCAGAGAAGUAGAUUGCAUCAUGGAAUGGGCCAC